GUUGCAUCAAAGCUGAAACCGGUUCAACAUGGAUACUUUUGUUCAGCUAUUGGAACAUCCGAAGGAAGUUGUUUGCAUAUGCCAUUGGUUUCACAUCGGGAUGUGGCACUGCUGAGAAGGUAACAAUGUUUGGCUUCAUAUCUGGUGCUUCAAAGCGAAUAAAAGCCCCUUUAUUUCCCAUCUGGUCACAAUAAUUGGGAGCAGAA
rnacentral:misc_RNA from 1 species